rnacentral:rRNA from 1 species
AGCGCACACGGUGGAUGCCUUGGCGGUCAGAGGCGAUGAAGGACGUGGCAGCCUGCGAAAAGUAUCGGGGAGCUGGCAACAAGCUUUGAUCCGGUAAUGUCCGAAUGGGGAAACCCACCCGCUUGCGGGUAUCCUGCAGUGAAUACAUAGCUGCUGGAAGCGAACCUGGUGAACUGAAAUAUCUAAGUAACCAGAGGAAAAGAAAUCAACCGAGAUUCCGUAAGUAGCGACGAGCGAACGCGGACUAGCCCUUAAGCUGGAUUGGUUCUAGGAAAACGCUCUGGAAAGAGCGGCCAUAGAAGGUGAUAGCCCUGUAUCUGAAAGGGCCAUUCCAGUGAAGACGAGUAGGGCGGGGCACGUGAAACCCUGUCUGAACAUGGGGGGACCAUCCUCCAAGGCUAAAUACUACUGACCGACCGAUAGUGAACCAGUACCGUGAGGGAAAGGCGAAAAGAACCCCGGAGAGGGGAGUGAAAUAGAACCUGAAACCGUGUGCGUACAAGCAGUAGGAGCUCCGCAAGGAGUGACUGCGUACCUUUUGUAUAAUGGGUCAGCGACUUACUGUUCGUGGCAAGCUUAACCGUAUAGGGGAGGCGAAGGGAAACCGAGUCUGAUAAGGGCGCAUAGUCGCGGGCAGUAGACCCGAAACCGGGUGAUCUAGUCAUGCCCAGGGUGAAGGUGCGGUAACACGCACUGGAGGCCCGAACCCACUCCCGUUGCAAAGGUAGGGGAUGAGGUGUGAUUAGGAGUGAAAAGCUAAUCGAACCCGGAGAUAGCUGGUUCUCCUCGAAAGCUAUUUAGGUAGCGCCUCAUAUGUAUCCUCUCGGGGGUAGAGCACUGUUAUGGCUAGGGGGUCAUCGCGACUUACCAAACCAUUGCAAACUCCGAAUACCGAGACGGACUGUAUGGGAGACACACGGCGGGUGCUAACGUCCGUCGUGAAAAGGGAAACAACCCAGACCCACAGCUAAGGUCCCAAAUUCACUGCUAAGUGGAAAACCAUGUGGAAAGGCACAGACAGCCAGGAGGUUGGCUUAGAAGCAGCCACCCUUUAAAGAAAGCGUAAUAGCUCACUGGUCGAGUCGGUCUGCGGGGAAGAUUUAACGGGGCUAAGCAGUGAACCGAAGCUUGGGGUGCAUACUUUGUAUGCGCGGUAGAGGAGCGUUCCGUAAGCCGUUGAAGGUGGAUUGAGAAGUCUGCUGGAGGUAUCGGAAGUGCGAAUGCUGACAUGAGUAACGAUAAUGCGGGUGAAAAACCCGCACGCCGAAAGCCCAAGGUUUCCUUGCGCAACGUUAAUCGGCGCAGGGUGAGUCGGCCCCUAAGGCGAGGACGAAAGUCGUAGUCGAUGGGAAGCAGGUUAAUAUUCCUGCACCUCGCGUAAGUGCGAUGGAGGGACGGAGAAGGUUAGGUGUACCAGGCGUUGGUUGUCCUGGGGAAAGGCGGUAGGUUUGGAUCUUUGGCAAAUCCGGGAUCCUCUAAGACCGAGCACCGAGACGAGCCUUUAAGGCGAAGUCACUGAUACCACGCUUCCAGGAAAAGCUCCUAAGCUUCAGCUUACGCAGACCGUACCGUAAACCGACACAGGUGGGUAGGAUGAGAAUUCUCAGGCGCUUGAGAGAACUCGGGUGAAGGAACUAGGCAACAUGGCACCGUAACUUCGGGAGAAGGUGCACCCUUUUUGGUGGCUCGUGCGAGCUAUAGCUGAAGAGGGUCGCAGUAACCAGGCCGCUGCGACUGUUUAUCAAAAACACAGCACUCUGCAAACACGAAAGUGGACGUAUAGGGUGUGACGCCUGCCCGGUGCUGGAAGGUUAAUUGAUGGGGUCAGCCGCAAGGCGAAGCUCUUGAUCGAAGCCCCAGUAAACGGCGGCCGUAACUAUAACGGUCCUAAGGUAGCGAAAUUCCUUGUCGGGUAAGUUCCGACCUGCACGAAUGGCGUAACGACAGCGGCGCUGUCUCCACCCGAGACUCAGUGAAAUUGAAAUCGCUGUGAAGAUGCAGCGUUCCCGUGGCAAGACGGAAAGACCCCGUGAACCUUUACUAUAGCUUUACACUGAACGUUGAGUUCGUCUGUGUAGGAUAGGUGGGAGGCUAUGAAACCAUGGCGCUAGCUGUGGCGGAGCCAUCCUUGAAAUACCACCCUGUCGUGCUUGACGUUCUAACCUGGGCCCAUUAUCUGGGUCGGGGACCGUGUAUGGUGGGUAGUUUGACUGGGGCGGUCUCCUCCUAAAGAGUAACGGAGGAGCUCGAAGGUACGCUCAGCGCGGUCGGACAUCGCGCACUGUGUGCAAAGGCAUAAGCGUGCUUGACUGCAAGAUCGACGGAUCAAGCAGGUAGGAAACUAGGACUUAGUGAUCCGGUGGUUCUGUAUGGAAGGGCCAUCGCUCAACGGAUAAAAGGUACUCCGGGGAUAACAGGCUGAUACCGCCCAAGAGUUCAUAUCGACGGCGGUGUUUGGCACCUCGAUGUCGGCUCAUCACAUCCUGGGGCUGUAGUCGGUCCCAAGGGUAUGGCUGUUCGCCAUUUAAAGUGGUACGCGAGCUGGGUUCAGAACGUCGUGAGACAGUUCGGUCCCUAUCUGCCAUGGGCGUUGGAGAUUUGAGAGGGGCUGCUCCUAGUACGAGAGGACCGGAGUGGACGAACCUCUGGUGUUCCGGUUGUCACGCCAGUGGCAUUGCCGGGUAGCUAUGUUCGGAAGCGAUAACCGCUGAAAGCAUCUAAGCGGGAAGCGCGCCUCAAGAUGAGAUCUCCCGGGGCACAAGCCCCCUGAAGGAACCAUGUAGACUACGUGGUUGA